AGCGAACGCUGGCGGCACGCCUAACACAUGCAAGUCGAACGCCUGUCGCAAGGCAGGAGUGGCGGACGGGUGAGUAACGCGUGGGAACCUGCCCCUUGGUUCGGGACAACCCUUGGAAACGAGGGCUGAUACCGGAUAAGGCCUGAGGGCGAAAGAUUUAUCGCCGAGGGAGGGGCCCGCGUCCGAUUAGGUAGUUGGUGGGGUAACGGCCCACCAAGCCUGAGAUCGGUAGCUGGUCUGAGAGGACGGCCAGCCACACUGGGACUGAGACACGGCCCAGACUCCUACGGGAGGCAGCAGUGGGGAAUAUUGGACAAUGGGGGCAACCCUGAUCCAGCGAUGCCGCGUGGACGAUGAAGGCCUUAGGGUUGUAAAGUCCUUUCGCCGGGGACGAUAAUGACGGUACCCGGAGAAGAAGCCUCGGCUAACUCCGUGCCAGCCGCCGCCGUAA
rnacentral:rRNA from 1 species